rnacentral:rRNA from 1 species
UACGUAGGGGGCUAGCGUUGUCCGGAAUCAUUGGGCGUAAAGCGCGUGUAGGCGGCCCGGUAAGUCCGCUGUGAAAGUCGGGGGCUCAACCCUCGGAUGCCGGUGGAUACUGUCGGGCUCGAGUACGGAAGAGGCGAGUGGAAUUCCCGGUGUAGCGGUGAAAUGCGCAGAUAUCGGGAGGAACACCUAUGGCGAAGGCAGCUCGCUGGGACGUUACUGACGCUGAGACGCGAAAGCGUGGGGAGCAAACAGG